GGGGACGUAGCUCAGUUGGGAGAGCGACGGUUUUGCACGCCGUAGGUCGCCGGUUCGAUCCCGGUCGUCUCCACCA
rnacentral:tRNA from 1 species